UACGUAGGGGGCUAGCGUUGCUCGGAAUUACUGGGCGUAAAGGGCGCGUAGGCGGACAGUUUAGUCAGAGGUGAAAGCCCAGGGCUCAACCUUGGAAUUGCCUUUGAUACUGGCUGUCUUGAGUUCGGGAGAGGUGAGUGGAAUGCCGAGUGUAGAGGUGAAAUUCGUAGAUAUUCGGCGGAACACCAGUGGCGAAGGCGACUCACUGGCCCGAUACUGACGCUGAGGCGCGAAAGCGUGGGGAGCAAACAGG
rnacentral:rRNA from 1 species